rnacentral:lncRNA from 1 species
CCUCUAGAAAAAAUAUGUUUAAUCCUUAUAAUUCUUCAGCCAAACAUACGCCAUUAUCAAUUUACAUCAUUUGUUUGACGGCUACUUUAUUUACCAUCAAAAGCACAAUGGCAUGUCGUAACUAAGGAGUACGCCGCCAUCUUGUCUUUCUAAAAACCAUAGAUGUCCGAUAAAUGCAACAGAAUCUAAAAUGAAAUAGCACCUACCUCAACAAUUUCAUUUUAAUUAGAUAUU